GAACAGAAGAGGGAGAACCAUUUGGAAUGAAAUGCAGUAUUAGAAGGAGAAUCAUCAUGGCGCACAUCUUACCACCUUUGAUGUGAACUGUGGCUUAGAAGAAAGAGCUGAUCAAAGGACAGAAGAGAGAAACCUGCGUCCUCAAUCAACCUAGUCCUAUUCAAAGGUCAAUGCCUUUCCAUUAGCACCCGCACUGCUGUGCCGGGCAGAGCACAUCGCAGCUGGGCAUCUGCAGGUGAUGGCUUCCAGGUGUUAGCCUACAGAAAAUCACUGAAAGUCAACGCAGACGUCGAGCUCCAAGACAUUCAGCUGCAAAAAGCCUUCCAGGCAAGGUCAUGGUUUUGGUACUUGUAGCAGAAACCGAAGAGAAACUCUGAAAGCCCUGCCCAUGCUGUCCCAGAGGGGGAGCUGACAAAAGUUGGCUCCAUUGCGGAAAAACAUUUCAGGUAUAUAAAAUGUCCACCGCUCCCUGAGGCACGAAAAAGAGUUUAAAGUGUAGUUUGAAGGAAAACAAAAACUACCUCUUGAAUGUUGUCCGCACGUGGCAGGUAAAUGAAUCUUUUCUGAGUGAAGGUCCCUUUGUCUCUUGGCAACCCAGCAUUUAUUCCUUCAUGCUCAGUGGUGGGAAAUUUCCCCCUUCCAA